rnacentral:tRNA from 1 species
AAUUAAUGAGCUUGUAAUUAAGCAAUAGUUUUGAAAACUUUAGAAAGAAAUAAUAAUUCUAUUAAUUU